rnacentral:rRNA from 1 species
GAUGAACGCUGGCGGCGUGCCUAAUACAUGCAAGUCGAGCGAACGGACGAGAAGCUUGCUUUUCUGAUGUUAGCGGCGGACGGGUGAGUAACACGUGGAUAACCUACCUAUAAGACUGGGAUAACUUCGGGAAACCGGAGCUAAUACCGGAUAAUAUUUUGAACCGCAUGGUUCAAAAGUGAAAGACGGUCUUGCUGUCACUUAUAGAUGGAUCCGCGCUGCAUUAGCUAGUUGGUAAGGUAACGGCUUACCAAGGCAACGAUGCAUAGCCGACCUGAGAGGGUGAUCGGCCACACUGGAACUGAGACACGGUCCAGACUCCUACGGGAGGCAGCAGUAGGGAAUCUUCCGCAAUGGGCGAAAGCCUGACGGAGCAACGCCGCGUGAGUGAUGAAGGUCUUCGGAUCGUAAAACUCUGUUAUUAGGGAAGAACAUAUGUGUAAGUAACUGUGCACAUCUUGACGGUACCUAAUCAGAAAGCCACGGCUAACUACGUGCCAGCAGCCGCGGUAAUACGUAGGUGGCAAGCGUUAUCCGGAAUUAUUGGGCGUAAAGCGCGCGUAGGCGGUUUUUUAAGUCUGAUGUGAAAGCCCACGGCUCAACCGUGGAGGGUCAUUGGAAACUGGAAAACUUGAGUGCAGAAGAGGAAAGUGGAAUUCCAUGUGUAGCGGUGAAAUGCGCAGAGAUAUGGAGGAACACCAGUGGCGAAGGCGACUUUCUGGUCUGUAACUGACGCUGAUGUGCGAAAGCGUGGGGAUCAAACAGGAUUAGAUACCCUGGUAGUCCACGCCGUAAACGAUGAGUGCUAAGUGUUAGGGGGUUUCCGCCCCUUAGUGCUGCAGCUAACGCAUUAAGCACUCCGCCUGGGGAGUACGACCGCAAGGUUGAAACUCAAAGGAAUUGACGGGGACCCGCACAAGCGGUGGAGCAUGUGGUUUAAUUCGAAGCAACGCGAAGAACCUUACCAAAUCUUGACAUCCUUUGACAACUCUAGAGAUAGAGCCUUCCCCUUCGGGGGACAAAGUGACAGGUGGUGCAUGGUUGCCGUCAGCUCGUGUCGUGAGAUGUUGGGUUAAGUCCCGCAACGAGCGCAACCCUUAAGCUUAGUUGCCAUCAUUAAGUUGGGCACUCUAAGUUGACUGCCGGUGACAAACCGGAGGAAGGUGGGGAUGACGUCAAAUCAUCAUGCCCCUUAUGAUUUGGGCUACACACGUGCUACAAUGGACAAUACAAAGGGCAGCGAAACCGCGAGGUCAAGCAAAUCCCAUAAAGUUGUUCUCAGUUCGGAUUGUAGUCUGCAACUCGACUACAUGGAGCUGGAAUCGCUAGUAAUCGUAGAUCAGCAUGCUACGGUGAAUACGUUCCCGGGUCU